rnacentral:lncRNA from 1 species
CACGACCAUUUGAGACCCGGGGACCAGGCCCUGCGGUCAUUCCAGGUUUGUCCAUGAGGAAGCUGAGCAAGCGAGACGAGAAGGCACCCACACUCAGAAUCAGCAGCAGAGACCUCAAACCACAAAUGCGUCACCCCAAGGGAGAGCAAAGGGGACCAGGUGCCACGGGGUAGGGCAAGGAGGAGCGGGCAGGUCAGCUGCCGUCUGCUCAGAAAGAGAAACUGGCCCACAGAUCACAAAUGUCCACAGAGCAGCAAGAAAGAAGCCAGCCUGACAGUCAGACAGGAAUCAAAUCCCUCUCUGCCUCCUCCUGGCUGUGUGACCCUGAGGAGUUUCCAGCAUCGGCUCCAAACGAGUGGAAGUCCGGCCCCAUCCUCCAACUUCCUGUCGGCAAGUCCGGGCCUCGGCUAGCCCAUUCAGCCAGAAGGCGCCUGGCGGAGGGCUCCAGCGUUCGCUCUUGCCUUCCCCUCCUCCAGCCUCUUCUCCCUCUGGCCUCCACCCAGCUCCACGGUGACCAUCCUUCAGGUGGAAUUCCCUCCCCAGCGGCAGCGGAUGCAUCUCCCUCUUCCCAGCCCAAGGGACCUUUCCUCCUAUGGGCAGGCACAGCCCGCACUGGGCGCAUCCCGUCCCGGCCCCCGAGUAGAGUGUAAGCUCUGUGUGGGCCAAAGCGAAGACUGCACAUGGUUAUUUCCACCCCACGCGCCUCCCCCUGGCACAGAGGUGGAGCAGGCACUAGGUAAACACUUACUGGUGGAGGAGAAGGAAACAGCUCCAAGGUGCAAUGCGCCGAUUUCCUGACACUCCAGGUCACCUGGUGGAGCAAGGACAUUGUUCUGAGAAGUCUGCACCCAUAAAGAUAAGGGAGAGAGGAAAGGCCAUACACCAUAAUUUCUCCCAUGUUACUGCAGAUGAUUUCAUAUCGAAAUGGAAGGUGGAGGGGAGGCAGGAAUGACGGCACCCUAGACGGAGCAGGGCCCCGAGGGGCGGGGGAAUCUGUAAUUGGUGACCGCAACUUGCUCCUGCACUUUCAAGGUGCGGUUCUCCAGGGAAUAAAAAUAAAUGUUUUUUCUCAAAAUUGAAGGGAAGUUACAGUAAAGAUGCCUGUGGGGGCGUGUAUCUUCCGAGCGGACAUCUCCAGGGCCGG